CUAUGCGCCUUGCCAGCCCGCUCAGGUGUGCCAGCAGCCGCGGUAAUACGUAGGGGGCAAGCGUUAUCCGGAUUUACUGGGUGUAAAGGGAGCGCAGACGGCAGUGCAAGUCUGGAGUGAAAGCCCGGGGCCCAACCCCGGAACUGCUCUGGAAACUGUGCGGCUAGAGUACUGGAGGGGCAGGCGGAAUUCCUAGUGUAGCGGUGAAAUGCAUAGAUAUCACGCAGAACUCCGAUUGCGAAGGCAGCUUACUAAACUAUAACUGACACUGAAGCACGAAGGCGUGGGAUCAAACAGG
rnacentral:rRNA from 1 species